rnacentral:rRNA from 1 species
GAUGAACGCUAGCUACAGGCUUAACACAUGCAUGUCGAGGGACCGGCGCACGGGUGAGUAACACGUAUCCAACCUGCCCUUUACUCGGGGAUAGCCUUACGAAAGAAAGAUUAAUACCCGAUAUAAAGGAUGGGGAUGCGUUCCAUUAGUAUGUUGGUGAGUUAACGGCCCACCAAGCCUUCGAUGGAUAGGUUAUCUGAGAGGAAGUUCCCCAACAUGGGAACUGAGACACGGUCCAAACACGUACAGGAGGAAGAAGUGAGGAAUAUGGGUCAAUGGGCGUUACGCUGUACCAGCCAAGUAGCUUGAAGGAUGAAGGCUUAUGGGUCGUAUAUCUCUUUUAUAUAAGAAUAUGUAUUAUAUGAAUAAGGAGCGGCUAACACCGUGCCAGGAGCCGCGGUAAUUC